rnacentral:rRNA from 1 species
GACGAACGCUGGCGGCGUGCCUAAUAAAUGCAAGUAGGACGCAGUUGCGAACGGGUGAGUAACGCGUAGGUAACUACCUAUUAGAGGGGGAUAACUAUUGGAAACGAUAGCUAAUACCGCAUACUAGUAGAUGGACCUGCGUUGUAUUAGCUAGUAGGUAGGGUAAUGGCCUACCUAGGCAACGAUACAUAGCCGAACCGAGAGGGUGAGCGACCACACUGGGACUGAGACACGGCCCAGAAUCCUACGGGAGGCAGCAGUAGGGAAUAGUCGGAAAUGGGGGGAACCCUGACUGAGCAACGCCGCGGGAGUGAAGAAGGUUUUCGGAUCGUAAAGCUCUGGUGUUAAGGAAGCGGUAAUUAACCAGAAAGGGACGGCUAACUACGUGCCAGCAGCCGCGGUAAUAC